rnacentral:rRNA from 1 species
AAAGAUUAAGCCAUGCAUGUCUAAGUAUAAGCAAUUAUACCGUGAAACUGCGAAUGGCUCAUUAAAUCAGUUAUCGUUUAUUUGAUAGUACCUUACUACUUGGAUAACCGUGGUAAUUCUAGAGCUAAUACAUGCUGAAAACCCCAACUUCGGGAGGGGUGUAUUUAUUAGAUAAAAAACCAACGCCCUUCGGGGCUUCUUGGUGAUUCAUGAUAACUUUACGGAUCGCAUGGCCUUGCGCCGGCGACGGUUCAUUCAAAUUUCUGCCCUAUCAACUUUCGAUGGUAAGGUAUUGGCUUACCAUGGUUU